UACGUAGGGGGCAAGCGUUAUCCGGAUUUACUGGGUGUAAAGGGUGCGUAGGUGGCAAGGCAAGUCAGAUGUGAAAGCCCGGGGCUCAACCCCGGUACUGCAUUUGAAACUGUCUAGCUAGAGUGCAGGAGAGGUAAGCGGAAUUCCUAGUGUAGCGGUGAAAUGCGUAGAUAUUAGGAGGAACACCAGUGGCGAAGGCGGCUUACUGGACUGUAACUGACACUGAGGCACGAAAGCGUGGGGAGCAAACAGG
rnacentral:rRNA from 3 species